rnacentral:rRNA from 1 species
CCACUGAGUAAUGCAGGGGGCCAAUUAAAUGACUGCUAUGCGAGCUUAAAUAAGAUAAGGUUUUUGUUAUUACAAGGGUGCCUAAAGAGUGUAAUCUGAUGGGGAGUAUGGUUAAGAGUGAGGUAACUUUCCUUUGGUGUUCCUCGCGAAGUGUAGGAAGAACGGGACAGGGAUUAGAGACCCCAUUACGCUACAUGUCAAUAGAAAGCUGGGGACUACAAGUGUGCGCUUAAAACUCGAAGGACUUGGCGGCUCAGUAUGCCUAGGUAGGGGAACUUGACGCUUAAUACGAUGAUCCGCGUUUAAUCUCAUCUUUUCUGGAUUAAUCAGGUGGUGUACGGCCGUAGUAGGGUGUAAGGUAACUGGAUAAAAAUAUUCCGUUAGUGCAUAGUUGCAUUUAAUACAGGUCUUUGUGCCCCCUAUGGAAAGAGGUUAGUUGAGUUACUGAAUGGAGUAGCGGAGCUAGGUUGAAAUAGCUUAGUGAAGAAGUACUUACUAGUAGGGGGGAAUUAAAAUGUCUUGCUGAAUAGGGAACUACUGGGAGUUCAGAUCGCCCGUCGCCCUCGGGGAAACCGGAGGUAAGUCGUAACA